CUUCAAGUAGUUGUUUCAAGAACUACGAUCCUCUGAAGAAGUGUUUGGCAGCCCGAGCAGCAAACACUCUUUCUUUUGUCGGUGUGGACCCAGUUGUGUUGUCCCUUUUCAGGAAUGAGAGAGAAAAACCCUUUCAUGUUGUAAUCUUUCAGUCCCAAAAAUCUCGGGUUUGAGUGUAGCUGCAAAAUUUGGUUGUUUCGAGCACUUUGCUGAACAGCUGAAGUGAAAAUAAGAAGUUAGAAUGUAAAAGCAAGGGAGCGAAGCACGGAGCAGUAAGCAAAAGCGUCCGAACGGUACCGAAGCAGGAAGUAAGACACAGUAAAAACAUCUGGCUGCGCUGGACGCUUAUCGGAUUCUGCCAUGCUUUUGUUUCCAAACAGACUGAGAUGGAGGUGCUGUGAAGUGGUGUUAGGGUGUGUCUAGGAAAAGACUGACAGGACGGCCUUGCAAACACAAGACGAGCACUCUGGACCGUAACGUUCUCCAAUCGGGGUUUUUCAGCCUCGUAAUGUACUUGUGCUGACGCCAUUGCUUGAACAGUUAUUAUUAUUUAUCAUGCUCUACACAUCUUCAAGGUCGUUUGUACUAGUAUGAAACGAAACAAUUGCCUUAUUUGAGUGUAUUAGAGUCUCUACAGGUCUGUAAAAGCUCAAGCAAGAGAAAUAUAUUAGUAUAUUAACCUAUAUAUUAGGUUACUCGGUGAUGCUAAUGGUCCGGACACCAGACAGGACACAGUGGCCAUAUUUGGCAAUGGGAUGAUGAUGAUGAUGAUGAUGAUGAUGAUGAUGGGAUGAUGGUGGUCUUUAGUAAAGGAGGCUGAUGUGAUGACGAUCCUAGUAAUAACAUCAUCAUCUACACACCUCCUGAGGCGGUCACAGAUGCUGUAUAAUUCUCCAAAGUAGCAGCCUUCCUGAACAUAUUCCAGUGCUGGAAUUUAAUCCAAAGCCUUUAUUAUUAUUAAUUUUUUUAAAGUCAAAAAUAUCCUGCACUCCUCCACUGGGGCUAAACUGAUAAGUGAAUGGGUAAUCCGAGAGCACCUCCUCCAGGGAAGAGACCCCGAGGUGUGAUGUGUGUUCACUUCCUGAGAAACUGAGUGACAGCGAUCAGAGCAGACUGAUGGAGCCGUGCUCAGACACAGAAACACGAGCUUAAUAUUUCCCCAAGGAAAAUCACAGGCUCUAUUUUCCCCCUCGGGAUACAGACACAUCAAACGUCGCAGAAUAGAUCGAGAAGGCGAGCGGUGGGCCUCGAGAAUACUUCAAAUGCCACCGUUACUGACAAGAAGUCAGACAGGGAUAGGAAAACGGCUUCUCCUGCAGAUUAUGCCGCAAACCUUUUUCGCUAAUGUGUUCAUCUGACACGUGAGAUGGAACGAUGUGCAAUCAAAGAAAAAGAGAGCGCGAGAGAGAGAGAGUGACCGAGAAAAGUGGACAUGCAUUAUUUGUUGUGCCAUCCAAGUCAAAUGUUUCCACUCAUCACAAUAGUAACGUAAGAUUCUCCUCAUUACUAUAAUCUCAUACUGUAUCUACAGUGACGACGUUCACAUGCACAGCAGUAAUCUGAUGAUGGACCUUAUUCUGAAUAAGACGUAUAAUAUUCUGAUUAAGGUGUUUACACGAGUCGCUUUUAGAGUAUUCCUUUCAUGUGAUAGAACGUAGACGGAUUAACGUCACGUCAUUACGUCCCCGCGCCACGCCGUCCGACGUUCCCUCCGGAAUUUCACGUAUCGACGUACAGUUUUGGGUGUUUUCAUUUUAAUUGUACGAACGCUUCAAGUGCGGUUUAUUAUUUGUCGUGCUGUACGUGCUGAUAGACGACUGCUUGACGCCGUGGGCUGCGUCCCAAACCGCGUACUUGCCUACUAUAUAAUAUAUAGAGAUACAUGUGUUUCUCAUGUAAGUACGCGGUUUGGGACGCAGCCGUGCUCUCUUGUUCGCCGUCAGACGGUCGAGCGCUGCCGUGUGUGUACGUGUCCUGUCGCACAAUGCGGUGAAAACUCUCACACGACGUUAAUAGCGUGAUUAAGGUGUGUACGUGUCUGUAACGCACGUCGAUAACGCGACUAAAACAGGAAUACUCCACACGUCUUCAUUCCAUCUGUGUUUACUCCGAGUGUGACUUUAAUCAGAUUAAGGUCAUCGAUAAUCUCUGUUUACAUGCUCGUGUCUUAAUCAGAGUAUCGUCUUAAUCGGGUAAAUAUCGGAUCAUUGUACUGAUGGUCUCUCCUCC
ensembl:lncRNA